rnacentral:lncRNA from 1 species
UUGGUGUAAAUAGCUACUCGAAUUGCCCUAUGGUUGUAGGUGUCUAAUCCAUUGCUUCCUCCAUAUCUUUCUCAUAAUGGUUCUUUCUCUUAAUCUCUGUAAUCGAAAAAAACCAGAUGAAUUAAGCAAUUAGUGUGCCAUCCUUUAGCUAAUGGAUGAAAAAUAUGUAACUCAUCUAUUUCAUAAAAUAGAUAAGUAUUAUAGCAAAACCUUCAAAGAGAGAAUUGCAAGAUGAGUAUCUUGUUAGGAAAAGAAAAACAGAUAUGCAUAGCUAUUGCAAGUCU